rnacentral:rRNA from 1 species
GUUUGAUCCUGGCUCAGGAUGAACGCUAGCGGCAGGCCUAACACAUGCAAGUCGAACGGUAGUCAGCAGCAAUGUUGACGAGAGUGGCGCACGGGUGCGUAACGCGUAUGUAACCUGCCCCAUGCUGGGGGAUAGCCUCCCGAAAGGGAGAUUAAUACCCCAUGGUAAUACUGAGUUGCAUGACUUGGUAUUUAAAGCUGAGGCGGUAUGGGAUGGGCAUGCGUCCGAUUAGGUAGUUGGUAGGGUAAAGGCCUACCAAGCCUACGAUCGGUAGGGGAACUGAGAGGUUGGUCCCCCACACUGGUACUGAGACACGGACCAGACUCCUACGGGAGGCAGCAGUGAGGAAUAUUGGGCAAUGGCCGCAAGGCUGACCCAGCCAUGCCGCGUGCAGGAAGAAGGCCCUAUGGGUUGUAAACUGCUUUUCUCAGGGGGUAAACCCUCUUACGUGAUAGGAGGCUGAAAGUACCUGAGGAAUAAGCAUCGGCUAACUCCGUGCCAGCAGCCGCGGUAAUACGGAGGAUGCGAGCGUUAUCCGGAUUCAUUGGGUUUAAAGGGUCCGUAGGCGGUUUGUUAAGUCAGGGGUGAAAUCCUUCAGCUCAACUGAAGAAUUGCCUUUGAUACUGGCAGGCUAGAGUGCGACAGAGGUGGAUGGAAUGUGUCAAGUAGCGGUGAAAUGCAUAGAUAUGACACAGAACACCGAUUGCGAAGGCAGUUCACUGGGUCGCAACUGACGCUGAUGGACGAAAGCGUGGGGAGCAAACAGGAUUAGAUACCCUGGUAGUCCACGCCCUAAACGAUGAUCACUUGCUGUUGGUUCGUCAGAUGAAUCAGUGGCAAAGCGAAAGCGUUAAGUGAUCCACCUGGGGAGUACGGCCGCAAGGUUGAAACUCAAAGGAAUUGACGGGGGCCCGCACAAGCGGUGGAGCAUGUGGUUUAAUUCGAUGAUACGCGAGGAACCUUACCUGGGCUUAAAUGCAGGCUGACGGACUUGGAAACAGGUUUUUCCUGCGGGACGGCUUGCAAGGUGCUGCAUGGUUGUCGUCAGCUCGUGCCGUGAAGGGUUUGGGUUAAGUCCCCUAACGAGCGCAACCCCUACCCUUAGUUACCACCGGGAGAACCGGGGACUCUAAGGGACUGCCCCCUAAGGGGAAGGAAGAGAGGGGGGAUAACUUCAAUCUUCCCGGCCCUUACUUCAGGGGUACCACUUGCUAAAUGGGGGUUACAAAGGGACCACCUGGGCACGGAGCUAACCUUAAAACACGUC